AGAAAGAAAAAAGAAGGGGUUAGCUUUGGUCCUGCCUCCUUUCCUUUCUCUCAUUUGCUCGUCUCUCCUCCGUCCUUCGUCUGGAAAUUUGGUGAACUUGGCCAGGAGGUUCCAGAGCCCAGGGCUUUCCCUAGCAGCCUUGUCCUCUCACCUGGUCCCUCCUUCAGCUCCUGAGCACACAGUUUGGAGGACAGCUGGACAAGUGGCUGGAAUGAGUAGCUGCAGCUAACUCGAGUCGGGAAAAUGCGACAGCGACUGCCCACUCGAGGUCGUCAUGGCGACAGCCAGUGAACGUGUUCCUCUCCUCGGGCAGGCCCCCGAGUGUAGAGGAGCUGCUUCGCGAGGCGCAGCUCAAUCUCCAGAGCCUGUUGCAAGAAGAAUAUGAGGAACAGUACUCGGAGGCCAGACUUGUGGGGCAGACCUUCCGCUCUUCUGAUGAGGCCACUGAGCCC
rnacentral:sRNA from 1 species